rnacentral:rRNA from 1 species
CAGUCGCCACGGUAAUACGAAGGGGGCUAGCGUUACUCGGAAUUACUGGGCGUAAAGGGCGCGUAGGCGGCACGAUUAGUCAGGCGUGAAAUUCCUGGGCUCAACCUGGGGACUGCGCUUGAUACGGUCGAGCUAGAGGAUGGAAGAGGGUUGUGGAAUUCCCAGUGUAGAGGUGAAAUUCGUAGAUAUUGGGAAGAACACCGGUGGCGAAGGCGGCAACCUGGUCCAUUACUGACGCUGAGGCGCGACAGCGUGGGGAGCAAACAGGAUUAGAGACCCCUGUAGUCCCUGUCUCUUAUAA